CGAGGAGGGAGUCUCCCGACCCGUUCUUUCCCUCCUGGACGUGCCAGGGUAAGGCGAGGGUGCUGGGGGCCUGCAGCUGGGCGAGAAAAGGGCCGAGUGCCGAGAGAAUUGUGGCGGUGCCUAUCCAGCCCCUGCUGUGAGUGAAGACUGAGUUAGUGACUCCUAGGAUUCCCGCCUCUGGGCCUCUUGUUGCCUGAAGCGAGUACAUGGCCUGAAGUCUAAGUCCGCUAAGCAGAGGGCCCUGUUUCUCACAGCCAGAAGUACCUGAGACACAUGGGCGAUCUCACUGUCCCCAUGUCACAGUGGGAAGCAGCGCUGUUAUUAUUUCCUCCACAUCUCAGGAGCCAAGUGAGGCAGAGAUGUUAGGUCACUUGACCAAGGACACAGAGUAACUGCAGAUCAAAGGUCAGUGCAGCCGUGGGACUUCAUAUACCCUGCUCCUAACCCAUAUGCUGUGCUUUCAAGGUGAGCCAAUCUCAAAACCCCUUCUGUCUUCGCAUCCACCAAGAUAAGCCCUAGCCCUAAAACAGAAGACAGCAAGUCCACGAGAGCCCACGAUCCACCCUCUGCCUUCACCUGGAAACUAUUUGGAGGAGCAGAAAGAGAAACCAUCUUGAUUUUAAUGCCAUAAAUGUUGCAUUCUCUAAGUGUUUAGAUAGCUUUGGGGACUCCCACUGUGCACAGGCUGUGGCCCACGCCCCACGGCUGGAUCUGCCAGUGAGGCCUCUCCACCUUUUACCUGUUGCCAGGAGGCAGCAGAGUUUAUUUAGUCUAGGAGUUGCCAACCACACGCCCGCGGGGGCCAGGUGGCUGCACAGGGGGGACCAGGCAGGUUGGGCAUUGGGAAACCACAGCAAAGACUCAAGUGCCCAUAAAGGAAGCUCCGCUGAGCUGUACAGAGCUGGCCAGGAGGGCCACACCAGCUGGUUGUUCAUGAGAAGCCUGAAACCCAAACGUUUCAGUAAAAGUUCCUGCUUUUUUUAAACUCGAUCUAGGUCAAACAGAAACAUCUAUGGUCCCGGUAAGGGUGCCACGCCCGGUCCACCAGACACAGACAUCAAAUAGCCUUACCUUGGUGAGAUUCAAGGCUGUCUGCUCCGAGAGGGACUUACUGGCAAACAGCCCAAGCAGAAGAACAUCAGCAAGGGGGACCAAGGAAGAUGUGUCUGCUCACCACGGGGCUUGCUGUGGAUGUCAUGAAGAGGCUUGGCAGCGUUGAAGACAAUAAAGCAUGCUUUCCUGGAAGAAACAAUGCUGGAUUAAGGACUAAAACAUGGUCACUUUUUUCACCACGAGGAAGACCUGUCCUUGUUAAAAAUGUACUGGCUUCAGACACAUGGAAGAGAGUCUGAGAAUGUUUUGAGUAGGAAUGUUGCUGGAGAUAAAUUAUGGGCUAAGAAAUCAGCUGACUGAGUCGACCGUAUAGAUUUUCCCAGGUCACAUUACUUUUCCAUUUGUAUUCUCAAUCGCUUUUGAACACCCUUCAUGCAAGUCAGCAUAUCAAAAGAUGAUUUUAUACAAGGAUUACCGAUUUCAAAUAAAUAAAGAACCAAAAGAAAUAGAUUUCAAUUGCAUCCAGACUGGUUGGAGAUAAAAUGAGGAGUGCUACAACUCGCUGGGCCAGCACAGACAGGAGCCCUGGGAGCGCUCUCCUCUGAGAUCGAUGAAGUGAGAAUAGGCCCCAGUAAAGCAGUGGAGAAAACUGUCUUCCUGAGCCCCCUCUAGCCCAAGGAUUCCAGCUAUUCUUUGCACUCAGCCCCCAUGGGGUUAAUGAUGAAUUAUUACAAACAAUGAAGACAUUUAAGGCUGAAGACUAAGCCAUGAUUUGCUGUUCUCUGCCUGUUCACCCCCAACUAUUUCUAAUCCCACUAUUUCCUGAUGAGAACACACACUUAACCAGAUAUUCUACUUCAUUUUUGGAAAAUCUCUUGAAGUUGCUUUGGAUGAGCUGAGGAAAUGACAUCAUCACCCCUUGCUGGCUGCAGGAGUGACUGAGCCCUUGGGUUUGGGUGGGGUUGGGCUGCUGGUGAACGCAGAAGGUGUGGCGCUGCCGAGAGAACUGGACCCCAGAACCGCUCUGUUCUCCAAGUCAGAGUGACAUUCACUCCUCAGGUGCCAAUGAGUUACAGAGGAGUCAUGUCAAACUCACAUUUAACUCGUGUGUGUCCACAAAGCAGAGUGAGGGAUAGUGAAAAUCGGUCCAGCGAUCCUGCCAACGCUUGCAAGCGAUGACCAUGGAGACUGGGGUGAAAAUGAGAAUCUGCCAGGUCCUCAGUCGGUCCCAGUUCCCACGUGUUGAGUGUGUUUCCAGUGCCCAAAGGUACAUGCUUUCCGAUUACACGUAUCUGAACAUAACCUUCUUCCUCCUCUACAGAAAGAGCUGCUGUCCAUUCCAGUGGUAAGGGAGAGGGGACACCUGGCCAGGGUGACAGACGGUCAGCACUGUGCCUUUGUAUCAGGAAAGGCCACCACACCUGGACGGACCGGUCAGCAAAUGGUGCCAGCUCUGGCUCAUGAGAUUAGAGGAGGUGUCACCUCUGCCCAGGUCACUCAGAAAAAAGCCCCCUCUGGGCACCUACAGCCCCAGCACAGCUUCAAAUGCAGACAGGUCUUCAUGUAAAGAAAGACUUCUACCUACUUGUGUGGCCAUGUCCCCACCGAGGCCCGGCCUGGCUGGGAGCAGACUGGAUUUCAGUUCCAGUUGUCACUCUGCAUGGCUGCCCUGAACUCGGCUGUGUCAGACUCACUGAGCAGUGGUACACGGGGCCCCACACAGGCCUUCCAGGGACUUCAAGAGCCAUUCUCCUAUACAUGCUUUACGUCGUAUGCCUUGUCUUCAGACCAGGUCACCAGGUGCAAUGGGAUUCUGGUCGAUCCAGUUCUGGUUCAGUUCUGGUUCUGGCGAUGAGGGUUUGCUCUGACAAGAACAAGAACCAGAAACAAGGGCACCUCUUUCCAGUGUUACUAAAACAAGUAAACUGUCAGGAGGGCAGGCUUUGUUUGAAGCUUUUCAUAACAUAAAUACAAGUGAUAUCUUGGUUUCAAAGUGACAACUCUAAACCCUAGGCAAUAAAAUGCAGUAGAUUGGUCCAUUUUUUUCUUCUGAAGGAUGCUAUCAUUUGCCCUCUGUCAGUGCUAGGAGAGGGAAUGCAUUCCGUUUUCCUGGGUGGAAGCUGGAAGAUGUAAAUGUCGAAGGCUGUAGUGGACACAGGCUGUUUUGCCUGCACAGCAUCUGUUCCUUCUGAGACCAGCAUACCUGAUUGUCCCCUGGGAGUCCCCUCUCCUCCACAUGUUCUGGACAAGGCUGACCUCACUGUCAUUUCAGGGGGGCUGGGGAUGGGGGACUAUGACAGAGACCUAAGCCAGUCAGCAUAUUCUGCACUCCCAGACACAGAAAAUGACUCAUGGAAGGUGCAUGGAUAAAUGUGAGCCAAUGUGAGUCCUGCCCAGCCCCAGCAUGGGAAGUGAUAAGAGAAAGAAGCUCCCUCUUUUCCACAGAGGCUGCUGAGGGCAGAGGAUGCAACACUAGAAGCAUGACAGCCACCUUGGCACCAGGAGGAGGCUAACAAAAGAGGGCAGGGUCAAACGCAGAGAUUCCCACUGACAUCAUGUGAGCACCUGGACCAAACCAGUUCUGAAGCAGUUUCCCCUAGAGCUUCCAUUGCAAGAGAUGAAAAAGAAACACAUGGCUUUCUUGGCUAAAGUUAUCUUGAAUUGGGUUUUCUGUCAUGCAAUCAAUAGGGUCCUAACAACUGAGGGACUCAACGUCAGAAGCGGAACGAGGGCAGGCAGCGUCUGGAACUCAGGCCUUUCUCUCCUGGUCCUGACAUCCGCUGUGCUGGGUCCCAAUGAAGCAGCAGCCACAUGUUUGUGAGUGCCUACAUGGGGUCUGUCAUUUUUUAGCAGAUUAUUUUAUGUGGAAAUAAAGAAACCCAUUGGGGAAAAAAUGGUGCAUUCACUUGUGGGCAGCAUGAAAAUGGAAUUGUAGGGGAAAGAUGAAUAUUAAUUUUAAAAACAGCUAAG
rnacentral:lncRNA from 1 species